rnacentral:rRNA from 1 species
CUUUGCGGACCAUACAACCCUGAAUGCACCCGAUCUCGUCAGAUCUUGGGAGCUAACCAAGGUAGGGUCUGGUUAGUAUUUGAAUGGCAGCCAGCAUAAUUUUAAAAAGAAAACCAUAGCUGGGAGCAUCACAAUGC